rnacentral:rRNA from 1 species
UACGGGGGGGGGCAAGCGUUGUUCGGAAUUACUGGGCGUAAAGGGCUCGUAGGCGGCCAACUAAGUCGGAUGUGAAAUCCCCAGGCUUAACCUGGGAACUGCAUCCGAUACUGGAUGGCUUGAAUCCGGGAGAGGGAUGCGGAAUUCCAGGUGUAGCGGUGAAAUGCGUAGAUAUCUGGAGGAACACCGGUGGCGAAGGCGGCAUCCCUGGACCGGCAUUGACGCUGAGGAGCGAAAGCAUGGGGAGCGAACAGGAUUGAGAAACCCCG